rnacentral:siRNA from 1 species
AAGAUCGAGUUGCGGUUUAAGUU